CCCCCAUCGAGCGAAUCGANGGGAGCUUGCUCCCUGAGAUUAGCGGCGGACGGGUGAGUAACACGUGGGCAACCUGCCUAUAAGACUGGGAUAACUUCGGGAAACCGGAGCUAAUACCGGAUACGUUCUUUUCUCGCAUGAGAGAAGAUGGAAAGACGGUUUACGCUGUCACUUAUAGAUGGGCCCGCGGCGCAUUAGCUAGUUGGUGAGGUAAUGGCUCACCAAGGCGACGAUGCGUAGCCGACCUGAGAGGGUGAUCGGCCACACUGGGACUGAGACACGGCCCAGACUCCUACGGGAGGCAGCAGUAGGGAAUCUUCCGCAAUGGACGAAAGUCUGACGGAGCAACGCCGCGUGAACGAAGAAGGCCUUCGGGUCGUAAAGUUCUGUUGUUAGGGAAGAACAAGUACCAGAGUAACUGCUGGUACCUUGACGGUACCUAACCAGAAAGCCACGGCUAACUACGGCCAGCAGCCGCGGAAACGAGGGC
rnacentral:rRNA from 1 species